rnacentral:rRNA from 1 species
AACGAACGCUGGCGGCAGGCCUAACACAUGCAAGUCGAACGCUCUCUUCGGAGAGAGUGGCAGACGGGUGAGUAACGCGUGGGAACCUACCCAGGGGUUUCGGAAUAACUCAGGAAACUUGAGCUAAUACCGGAUACGCCUUGCGAGGGAAAGAUUUAUCGCCCCUGGACGGGCCCGCGUCGGAUUAGCUUGUUGGUGGGUAACGGCCCACCAAGGCGACGAUCCGUAGCUGGUCUGAGAGGAUGAUCAGCCACACUGGGACUGAGACACGGCCCAGACUCCUACGGGAGGCAGCAGUGGGGAAUCUUGCACAAUGGGCGCAAGCCUGAUGCAGCCAUGCCGCGUGAGUGAAGAAGGCCCUAGGGUUGUAAAACUCUUUCAGCGGGGAAGAUAAUGACGGUACCCGCAGAAGAAGCCCCGGCUAACUCCGUG